rnacentral:rRNA from 1 species
CCGGGUGGUUAUGGCGAGAAGUCCCCACCCGUUCCCAUUCCGAACACGGUCGUUAAGCUUCUCUGCGCCGAUGGUACUUUGUCUCAAGGCACGGGAGAGUAGGUCGCUGCCCGG